rnacentral:rRNA from 1 species
AUGAGCUUUUGGGGAGCAACAGUAAUUACAAGCUUAGGUAGUGCCAUACCAGUAGUAGGAGAUACCAUAGUGACUUGGCUUUGGGGUGGUUUCUCCGUGGACAAUGCCACCUUAAAUCGUUUUUUACUCCAUCAUUUACUACCCCUUAUUUUAGUAGGCGCUAGUCUUCUUCAUCUAGCCGCAUUGCAUCAAUAUGGAUCAAAUAAUCCAUUGGGUGUACAUUCUGAGAUGGAUAAAAUUGCUUCUUACCCUUAUUUUUAUGUAAAGGAUCUUGUAGGUCAGGUAGCUUCUGCUAUCUUUUUUUCCAUUUGGAUUUUUUUGCUCCUAAUGUUUUGGGGCAUCCUGACAAUUAUAUACCUGCUAAUCUGA